rnacentral:rRNA from 1 species
UACGGAGGGUGCAAGCGUUAUCCGGAUUCAUUGGGUUUAAAGGGUCCGUAGGUGGGCGAAUAAGUCAGUGGUGAAAUCCGACAGCUUAACUGUCGAACUGCCAUUGAUACUGUUUGUCUUGAGUAAAUUUGAAGUAGCUAGAAUGUGUAGUGUAGCGGUGAAAUGCAUAGAUAUUACACAGAAUACCAAUUGCGAAGGCAGGUUACUAAGAUUUAACUGACACUGAUGGACGAAAGCGUGGGGAGCGAACAGG